rnacentral:rRNA from 1 species
UAGAGUUUGAUCCUGGCUCAGAACGAACGCUGGCGGCAGGCCUAACACAUGCAAGUCGAACGAAGCCUUCGGGCUUAGUGGCGGACGGGUUAGUAACGCGUGGGAAUGUACCCUUCACUACGGAAUAGUCCCUGGAAACGGGGUUUAAUACCGUAUACGCCCUUCGGGGGAAAGAAUAUCGGUGAUGGAUCAGCCCGCGUUAGAUUAGGUAGUUGGUGGGGUAAUGGCCUACCAAGCCUACGAUCUAUAGCUGGUUUGAGAGGAUGAUCAGCAACACUGGGACUGAGACACGGCCCAGACUCCUACGGGAGGCAGCAGUGGGGAAUCUUAGACAAUGGGGGAAACCCUGAUCUAGCCAUGCCGCGUGAGUGACGAAGGUCUUAGGAUCGUAAAGCUCUUUCAACUGUGAAGAUAAUGACGGUAGCAGUAGAAGAAACCCCGGCUAACUCCGUGCCAGCAGCCGCGGUAAUACGGAGGGGGUUAGCGUUGUUCGGAAUUACUGGGCGUAAAGCGCACGUAGGCGGACUAUUAAGUCAGGGGUGAAAUCCCGGGGCUCAACCCCGGAACUGCCUUUGAUACUGGUAGUCUAGAGUUCGAGAGAGGUGAGUGGAAUUCCGAGUGUAGAGGUGAAAUUCGUAGAUAUUCGGAAGAACACCAGUGGCGAAGGCGGCUCACUGGCUCGAUACUGACGCUGAGGUGCGAAAGUGUGGGUAGCAAACAGGAUUAGAUACCCUGGUAGUCCACACCGUAAACGUUGAAUGCCAGUCGUCAGGGGGCUUGCCCCUUGGUGACACACCUAACGGAGUAAGCAUUCCGCCUGGGGAGUACGGCGCAAGGUAAAACUCAAAGGAUUGACGGGGGCCCGCACAGCGGUGGAGCAUGUGGUUUAUUCGAGCACGCGCAGACCUACCACCCUUGACAUCUGUGCUACCCGAGAGAUCGGGCGUCCC